rnacentral:rRNA from 1 species
GCCCUGUGAGUUACGACUUUAACGGCCGCGGUACUCUGACCGUGCAAAGGUAGCAUAAUCCCAUGCUUUUUAAUUGAAGGCUAGUAUGAAUGGACUAACGAGUGAUUAAUUGUCUCAUUAUUAUUUCUAUAAAUUAGUCCUUAUGUGAAGAAACAUAAAUUUUCCUAAAAGACAAGAAGACCCUGUGGAGUUUUAUCUUAAAGAAUUCUAAACUACUUAUUUUAAAUAAAUUAAUUAUCUAUUCUAAGAUUUGAUUGGGGCAAUCGAUGGCUAACCUCACCGCCAUCCAUGAAUUAGACUCUACGUCGCCUUAUCUACCCUUAUAAAAGAAAAGUAACUAAGUACUACCCCAGGGAUAACAGACCAAUCCCCUUAAAGAGCCCAAAUCGUAAAGGGGGAGUGGCACCUCGAUGUUGGCUUAGGAAAGCCUUUAAGUGCAGCAGCUUAAUCGGCUGGUUUGUUCAACCAUUAAAUUCCU